CUGGACUGAAAUGGUCUAUAAAAAGCACAAACUAGCUGUUAAUUUACAAUACAGCAUCAGUGUCACAACUUUAGUUCUGACUUUUCAACCAUUUUACAUCUUCACUUGAACAGAACUCCAUGGUGACCAUGAAACUACUAUUCCUAGUGAUGUGCCUGAUUGGACUUUGUUCUUCCAUUCCUGUAAGAAUUCUUGAAAUACAACAUCAACACUGCAAUUUACGCAUCAAUACACCAAGAGAUUGCUGUUUCCACAGAUUGCAUUGCAUUGGAAUAUGACAAUACAUUAAUUAUUACAAUACGAUUAACUUAAGUUCACACUUUGAGUGUUGAUUACUCUAUACUGUAAUAUCCUGUAUCCUGGGAUUUUGUUUGUGUGUGCAGGUGUCUGAGAAACAUGAUCGAGAGGAGCGCUCAGCUAGUGAUGAGAUGUUCAGGGGUUAUGGGCAUAGUGUUGGGGGAUUCUAUCCCUAUCAGCAGCCUCAGCAGCCUCAGUACCCAUCAUACUUCCCUUACGCCCAGCCCCCCCAAAGUAACUCUGCCCUGUUGGCCCUCCUGCCCUUCCUAUUGGCCAGACUCGCUGCCGCUCCAGCCGCAACUCCUGCUGCAGCUCCCGCCCCAGCCCCAGCAGCAGGUGGAAAAUGAGAUGGGCGUCGACAGAAGAGCCAGAAGGACUCUCAUGUCUCCACCUUGUUUACAUCACAUAUGUUGACAUUAGCUGCUGUUCAGAGCUGAUUAUUCCAUUUUCAAUAAAUGAAAUAAGUUAAGAUCCAU
ensembl:lncRNA